GACGAACGCUGGCGGCGUGCUUAACACAUGCAAGUCGAGCGGUAAGGCCCUUUCGGGGGUACACGAGCGGCGAACGGGUGAGUAACACGUGGGUGACCUGCCCUUAGCUCUGGGAUAAGCCUGGGAAACUGGGUCUAAUACCGGAUAUGACUCCAUGACGCAUGUUGUGGGGUGGAAAGCCUUGUGCGGCUAGGGAUGGGCCCGCGGCCUAUCAGCUUGUUGGUGGGGUGAUGGCCUACCAAGGCGACGACGGGUAGCUGGUCUGAGAGGAUGGCCAGCCACAUUGGGACUGAGACACGGCCCAGACUCCUACGGGAGGCAGCAGUGGGGAAUAUUGCGCAAUGGACGAAAGUACUGACGCAGCGACGCCGCGUGUGGGAUGACGGUCUUCGGGUCGUAAACACUGUCAGUGGGAAAGAUGGGUGUCGGCGCUAAUACCGCCGGCAUUUGACGGUACCUGCAGAGGAACGCCCCGGCCAACUC
rnacentral:rRNA from 1 species